UACGUAGGAUGCAAGCGUUGUCCGGAUUUACUGGGCGUAAAGCGUGCGCAGGCGGUUUUGCCAGACCGAUGUGAAAUCCCCGGGCUCAACCUGGGAACUGCAUUUGUGACUGCACGGCUGGAGUGCGGCAGAGGGGGAUGGAAUUCCGCGUGUAGCAGUGAAAUGCGUAGAUAUGCGGAGGAACACCGAUGGCGAAGGCAAUCCCCUGGGCCUGCACUGACGCUCAUGCACGAAAGCGUGGGGAGCAAACAGG
rnacentral:rRNA from 1 species